rnacentral:ribozyme from 1 species
AUAAUAAGAAGACAUCAAAAAAGAAAAAGAAGAACUGUGACUCGUCACCAACCUGUUUUACCUCCUGAUACUCUAGUACACAACUUUUUUUUAGGAUGGUUGUUAUUUUUAUCAUGCUACUAGUUGGUGUCA